UCUCUCUCCACAAACCCUUACCAUCCCAACCUCCUUGACCGCUACUCCUUAAGACCUUCCUCGACUUCUCCGACUCGCCGCCCUUCACCAUCGAUCUCUCCUUCGAGUGGAUCCUCGACUCCCGUGACUCCGACGCCGAUCAGAUCAAGCUCAUUGAUCGCGCCCUGCAGUUGGGAUCGGUGCUCCUAGAGGCCGGUAAGAGCUCGGCGAGACAACGAGCCUCCAAUCACAGUGAUAGGCACCAGCCUGUGAGAGGUUCUCUCAUUAAAGAGAUUUUCAGUGUGGCGAAUGAGAUCCAUAGCUCAGCUACUAGGAAGAACAAGGAAUGGCAAGAGAAGCUCCCUAUUGUUGUAUUGAAAGCAGAAGAGAUUAUGUACUCUAAAGCCAAUUCUAAGGCCGAAUAUACGGACCUUAAAACGCUUUGGGACCGGGCAAAUGAUGCCAUUAAUACCAUAAUUCGCCGCGAUGAAAGCAUUGAAACCGGGGAAGAGUUACUUCAGCCUUGUAUUGAAGGUAUGAGUCCAUUAUUCGAAAGGAAGGGCUUGAAAUAUCACAACCGGCACUUGAUUUUUCCAAGACAGAGGUGAACUACAUGGAGAAACUUUUGAAAGAGGAUGGGAUUCAGAAGAAACUCAGCAAGGAUAUUUUGCAAUAUAAAGCUCAUAUAAUCAAGAUAUUUGCGGAACAUAGGCACAAUUGGAUCUCUGCAGAUUUAGAGUUUUAGAAAUUUGCAUAGGGCUUAGGAUGCAAGUCACUGGUGAAUUGUAAACUCCAGUUUAUUAAAUAAAUUAGCUUUUUGUAUCUUUUUAUGAUGUCACUGUUAUGUUUAGUCUUCCUUAAUAAAACAUUACUUUUAUAGAUCUUUUACAGCA